rnacentral:rRNA from 1 species
UCAGUCGACUCCUACGGGGAGGCAGCAGUGGGGAAUAGUUGCACAAUGGGGGAAACCCUGAUGCAGCCAUGCCGCGUGUGUGAAGAAGGCCUUCGGGUUGUAAAGCACUUUCAGUAGGGAGGAAGGUAGUGUAGUUAACAUCUGCAUUAUUUGACGUUACCUACAGAAGAAGCACCGGCUAACUCCGUGCCAGCAGCCGCGGUAAUACGGAGGGUGCGAGCGUUAAUCGGAAUUACUGGGCGUAAAGCGCAUGCAGGCGGCCUGUUAAGUCAGAUGUGAAAGCCCGGGGCUUAACCUCGGAAUUGCAUUUGAAACUGGCAGGCUAGAGUCUUGUAGAGGGGGGUAGGAAUUUCAGGUGUAGCGGUGAAAUGCGUAGAGAUCUGAAGGAAUACCAGUGGCGAAGGCGGCCCCCUGGACAAAGACUGACGCUCAGAUGCGAAAGCGUGGGGAGCAAACAGGAUUAGAUACCCUGGUAG